UACAGAGGGGGCAAGCGUUGUUCGGAAUUACUGGGCGUAAAGGGCGCGUAGGCGGCCUGUUAAGUCGAACGUGAAAUCCCUGGGCUCAACCUGGGAACUGCAUCCGAUACUGGAUGGCUUGAAUCCGGGAGAGGGAUGCAGAAUUCCAGGUGUAGCGGUGAAAUGCGUAGAUAUCUGGAGGAAUACCGGUGGCGAAGGCGGCAUCCUGGACCGGCAUUGACGCUGAGGAGCGAAAGCCAGGGGAGCAAACGGG
rnacentral:rRNA from 1 species